CAGUGUAUGUCAGACUUCCAAGAAAAGCUCGCAAUGUCACAAAUAAAAGAUGCCUGUACCAUAACCGACACAGGUGGGUAGGUAGAGUAUACUAAGGGGCGCGAGAUAACUCUCUCUAAGGAACUCGGCAAAAUGACUCCGUAACUUCGGGAGAAGGAGUGCCUUAUUUAUAAGGUUGCAAUAACAAGAUCCAAGCAACUGUUUAUCAAAAACACAGGUCUCCGCUAAGUCGUAAGACGAUGUAUGGGGGCUGACGCCUGCCCAGUGCCAGAAGGUUAAAGAAGUUGGUUAGUGUAUGCGAAGCUGAUGACUGAAGCCCUGGUGAACGGCGGCCGUAACAAUAACGGUCCUAAGGUAGCGAAAUUCCUUGUCGGGUAAGUUCCGACCCGCACGAAAGGCGUAAUGAUUUGGAUACUGUCUCGGAGAGAGGCUCGGUGAAAUAGACUUGUCUGUGAAGAUGCGGACUACCUGCACCAGGACAGAAAGACCCUAUGAAGCUUUACUGUAACUUGAAAUUGGAAUUGGACUUUGCUUGCGCAGUAUAGGUGGGAAGCGUUGAAAAUAUUCUUGCGGGAGUAUUGGAGCUAUCAGUGAGAUACCACUCUUGUAAUGUUAGAUUUCUAACUUUGAACCAUAAUCUGGUCAAAGAACAGUUUCAGGUGGGCAGUUUGACUGGGGCGGUCGCCUCCCAAAUGGUAACGGAGGCGUACAAAGGUUUCCUCUGAACGGAUAGAAAUCGUAUCUAGAGUGUAAAGGCAUAAGGAAGCUUGACUGUGAGACCUACAAGUCGAGCAGGGACGAAAGUCGGUCUUAGUGAUCUGACGGUACUGAGUGGAAAGGCCGUCACUCAACGGAUAAAAGUUACUCUAGGGAUAACAGGCUGAUCUCCCCCAAGAGUUCACAUCGACGGGGAGGUUUGGCACCUCGAUGUCGGCUCAUCGCAUCCUGGGGCGGUAGUACGUCCCAAGGGUUGGGCUGUUCGCCCAUGAAAGCGGUACGCGAGCUGGGUUCAGAACGUCGUGAGACAGUUCGGUCCAUAUCCGGUGUAGGCGCUAGAAUAUUGAGAGGAGCCUUCUUUAGUACGAGAGGACCGAGAAGGACACACCGCUGGUGUACCAGUUGUCGUGCCAACGGUAAACGCUGGGUAGCUAUGUGUGGAGUGGAUAACCGCUGAAAGCAUCUAAGUGGGAAGCCCACCUCGAGAUGAGUAUUCUCAU
rnacentral:rRNA from 1 species